UGCCAAUUUAUUUUUAUAGAUUUAGUAUAAUUGUUUUAUUCACAUUAUAUUUUUCAAGAAAUAGAGAUCAAAUUGUAAAGACAAAACAUUAGUGUCUACAUACUGGUGCAAUGUCACCACAAGUUAAUAAAAAAUAAAUUUGCUAGAUUUAUUGAAGGGGCUGGUAAAGAAAAGAUGUAGACCUCUAUUUAUGUAAUUUUAUUUUUUUUUAAAUGUGAAUAUUACUGUAAACAAUU